GACGAACGCUGGCGGCGUGCCUAAUACAUGCAAGUAGAACGCUGAAGAGAGGAGCUUGCUCUUCUUGGAUGAGUUGCGAACGGGUGAGUAACGCGUAGGUAACCUGCCUUGUAGCGGGGGAUAACUAUUGGAAACGAUAGCUAAUACCGCAUAACAAUGGAUGACACAUGUCAUUUAUUCGAAAGGGGCAAUUGCUCCACUACAAGAUGGACCUGCGUUGUAUUAGCUAGUAGGUGAGGUAAUGGCUCACCUAGGCGACGAUACAUAGCCGACCUGAGAGGGUGAUCGGCCACACUGGGACUGAGACACGGCCCAGACUCCUACGGGAGGCAGCAGUAGGGAAUCUUCGGCAAUGGGGGCAACCCUGACCGAGCAACGCCGCGUGAGUGAAGAAGGUUUUCGGAUCGUAAAGCUCUGUUGUAAGUCAAGAACGGGUGUGAGAGUGGAAAGUUCACACUGUGACGGUAGCUUACCAGAAAGGGACGGCUAACUACGUG
rnacentral:rRNA from 1 species